GGACUCAAUCCCAGGACCCUGUGAUCAUGACCUGAAAUGAAGCCACCCAGUUGUCGCAAUGUUUGAAGAAUUUCUCAAUCAGAUGAGGAACAUAGUCUCACAGGACAAAGGGUGAUGAAUGGGUUGUGGGUCACCUGCUUCCAAGGCACUUUUAUCCCCCUAUCGUAGGGAGUUACUGUCUCAAGUCAAUUGCAAAGAAGGUUACAAUGACUCAAGGACACUGGAAUCAAACCCCAAGAGGCACCCAUCUCUAAUUCCCAUGCUGAGCUGAAUCCAGGUGAACAGUAGUGAUACGGGAGUUCUGUAUAUGACUCAGUGCUCAUCACAGGUCCGUGGACAAGGGGCCUCGGCAUCAGCUGGGAGCAUGUUGGAGGUGCAGACUCUCAGGUCCGUCCCAGGCUUACUCAAUCAGAAUCCGCAUUUUUCCGAGAUACGCAGGGGAUCAGAGCCUGAGAGGAUCUGCCCAAAAAACCACUGUGGAAUGUUCCACAAAGAGGAAGGCUAAUCGGCCACCUUGAUACAUCAAUGCGGAAGUGGCGGUUAUUUCCUGGGCCUUUUUGGCCAUUGCUGUCAUUCUAGAAUCCCCUGAGGGGUUGAUUUCCCAGUGACCCCAGUGGGAACUGUCGUGGAAGAAAGGAAGGGACACCCUCCAGGCUGGGACUUAGAGCAGCCAUGGAAGCUAAGCAUGGGCCCAACAGCAGAAGCUCCCAACUCAUCAAGGCUAAGAGACUGCUCUGGAGCUCUAUGUUGUUCUCUUGCUAGAUCCUUUUGUGUCAGCUUAUGUUAUUGGGGAUUUUUCUUGUAUUGCUGGAACCUGUCCUCUUAGAUUCACUGUGGCUAUAUCUCUAAGUUGUGGCAUCCUUGGCUUGUCAUUUUGCUUCCAUGUAAUUUUAGACUUCCUCUUUGGCUUCUUGGUUGACCCAGUCCUUGUUCGGUAGCAUGUUCUUUAACCUCCAUGGAUUCAUGAUCUUUCCAGGUUUUUUCUUGGGAUUGAUUUCUAGUUCCAUAGCAUCACGGUCAGAAAAAGAUGCAUGGUAUGAUGUCCAUCUUUUUUAAUUUGUUGGGACUUCUUUUGUGGCCUAACUUGUGAUCUCUUCUGGAGGAUGUUCCAUGUGCCCUUGCAAAGAGGGAGUAUUCUGCUGGUUUAGGGUGGAAUGUUCUGCCUCUAUCUGUUCAAGCCAGUACAUCACUCAAAGCCAUUGAUUCCUUGUUGAUUUUCAGUUUGGAUCACGUCUCCAUGAAUAGAAGUGGGGUGUUAGAGUCCCAACCGUAUGGUAUCACUGUCAAAGAGUUCCUUUAAAU